rnacentral:rRNA from 1 species
GAUGAACGCUGGCGGCGUGCUUAACACAUGCAAGUCGAACGGAAAGGCCCAAGCUUGCUUGGGUACUCGAGUGGCGAACGGGUGAGUAACACGUGGGUGAUCUGCCCUGCACUUCGGGAUAAGCCUGGGAAACUGCGCCUAAUACCGGAUAGGAUCACUCCUAGGAUGUUGUGGUGGAAAGUUUUUUGGGUGUGGGAUGAGCUCGCGGCCUAUCAGCUUGUUGGGGGGGUAAUGUCCUACCAAGGCGUCGACGGGUAGCCGGCCAGUGAGGGUGUACGGCCGCAUUGGGACUGAGGUACGGCCCAGGCGCCUACGGGAGGCAGCAGUGGGGAAGAUUGCACAAUGGGCGCAAGCCUGAUGCAGCGACGCCGCGUGGGGGAUGACGGCCUUCGGGUUGUAAACUCCUUUCGCUAGGGACGAAGCGUUUUGUGACGGUACCUGGAGAAGAAGCACCGGCUAACUACGUG